GAUGAACGCUAGCGGCAGGCCUAACACAUGCAAGUCGAGGGGUAGUUGUCUUCGGACAAUGAGACCGGCGCACGGGUGCGUAACGCGUAUGCAAUCUACCUUAUACUAAGGGAUAGCCCAGAGAAAUUUGGAUUAAUACCUUAUAGUUAAAUGAAUUGGCAUCGAUUUAUUUAUAAAGAUUUAUUGGUAUAAGAUGAGCAUGCGUCCCAUUAGUUAGUUGGUAAGGUAACGGCUUACCAAGACGAUGAUGGGUAGGGGUCCUGAGAGGGAGAUCCCCCACACUGGUACUGAGACACGGACCAGACUCCUACGGGAGGCAGCAGUGAGGAAUAUUGGUCAAUGGGCGCAAGCCUGAACCAGCCAUGCCGCGUGCAGGAUGACGCAUCUAUGGUGUGUAAACUGCUUUUGUACAGGAAGAAACAGUUCUUUGCGAAGAACCUUGACGGUACUGUAAGAAUAAGGAUCGGCUAACUCCGUG
rnacentral:rRNA from 1 species